rnacentral:rRNA from 1 species
GACGAACGCUGGCGGCGUGCUUAACACAUGCAAGUCGAGCGGGGUCCAACUUGUCGCAAGACAAGGGAAGACCUAGCGGCGAACGGGUGAGUAACACGUGAGGAACCUGCCCCGAAGACCGGGAGUAACACCGGGAAACCGGUGCUAAUACCGGAUGCCCUCAGAGAGUCGCAUGGCUCUUUGGGGAAAUGGAUUCCGCUUCGGGAGGGUCUCGCGGCCUAUCAGCUUGUUGGUGGGUAACGGCCUACCAAGGCUCCGACGGGUAGCUGGUCUGAGAGGACGACCAGCCACACUGGGACUGAGACACGGCCCAGACUCCUACGGGAGGGCAGCAGUGGGGAAGUCUUGCGCAAUGGGCGAAAGCCUGACGCAGCAACGCCGCGUGCGGGACGAAGGCC